rnacentral:lncRNA from 1 species
UUUUGUCUGCAUUUUUCCGUAAGAGUAAGUCCAGGUUUACAGGGGUUGAAUAGCCCAAAAUCACACAUUAGAAUUGGUGUUUGAUCCCAUAAUGUUUACUGUAUUUGUCUCUCAAUGAGUAUAGGAAACUUUUAAAAAGCAAAAAAGGUCUUUUUUUUUUUUUAUUUUCUAAGCAUAGACAAUCAUGAAAUUUGACUAGCAGACAGACUCUAAGGCGACUCCGACCUCAUAGUAAAAUACCUGCCUGCUGAUAUUCACACUCCUGCAUAAUCCCUCCCCUUGAGUGUAGGUGGCACCUGUGUGACUUGUGCCUAAUAGUAUAUGAAAAAGUGAUAAGAUGCCACUCCUAUGAUUACAUUACAUUAUAUAAAUCUUGCUAGUCGACUGCUUUAGAGCUUCUCCUUGCUGGUUCAAUGAAGUAAGCAACUAUGUUGAGAAAGUCCACAUGGCAAAGAACUCCUGGUGGCCUAUAAGACCUGAGGGCAGCCUCCAGCUGAAAACUGAUGGGCAGAAAAAAGUCAGGGCCUUCAGUCUCACAGCUACAAUGAAAUGAAUUCUGCAACAACCUGAUUGAGCUUGAAAUCAGAUGCUUUCUCAGCUAAGCCUCCAGAUGAAAAUGCAGCUCAGUUGAAACCCUGACUGCAGCCCUGCGAAAACGAGCAGAGAACCCAGCCAAGUUGUGACUGGAGAUUCCUGACUUAUGGACAAUAAGAGGAGAAAUCUGGACACAGGCAUGCACACAGGGAGAACACCAUGUGAAGAUGAAGACAGGGAUCAGGGUGAUGGAGAAGAAACUCGGGAACUUCAAAGAUUGCAGACAAACCACUAGCAGCUAGGAAAGAGGCCUGGACGGACCCUCCUUCACAGGCCUCCGAAGGAACCAACUCUGUCAACAACUUGAUCUGGGUUUUCUAGUCUCUAGAUCAUGAGACAACACUCUCUGUUGUGUAAGACACUUAGUUUGUGGUAUUUUGUCACAGCAGCCUUAGCUAACAAAGAUAAAUGGAUUAUUAACUUAGAAAAUAUAUUGUAAAUGUAAAGAACACAUAUCACUUUGUAGUGAUAAUAAUUUAAUAGAAUAAAAAUAAGUUUGUAUAAAUUCAUAAAUCAUAAAGCUAUAAUGAGCUGCAAAGGAAAACUGUAAUAUUAUUGUUCAUGCUUUCAGUCUUUGGUGAUUUCAGGGAGGAAAACCUGAAAGAAUGAAAAGAUUUCAUUUUGUUUUAUUUUAAAGGAAUAAACAUUGGCGAUUGCUUCGAUAAUUACAUAUUAAGCUAUAAUAAUUUUCUAGACUUAAUUUUUAGACUUUGCCAAGACUGUCUAAUAUCUUCUAGUAAAUUUUUAGUUAUACAAUGUUAGCAUAGUGGGAAGGGCAGAAGUAUUUUGGCCUCAUGUAGGAAUAAUAUACAUUUUUAUACCCUCCAGCCUUCAGCUAAAAAUGGUGCCCUGAUGGCGGGAGAGAGUUAAUUCACAUCCCAGAUGCUUAACUUACUCCCUGAGAGUAGAUUACUCAUUGGCAGGACACGGUAAUUCUUCAUUUUAACCAUUACUAUAGCAUUUUGUAUUGUCAAGUGCUAUGUGGUUUUGCAAUCCUUAAAAU